GCUGGGCACGGUGGUUCGUGCCUGUAGUCCCAUCUACUCAGGAGGCUGAGGUGGGAGGCUCACUUGAGCCCAGGAGUUCUGGGCUGUAGUGCGCUAUGCCAAUUGGGUGUCCGCACUAAGUUUGGCAUCAAUAUGGUGACCUCCCGGGAGCAGGGGACCACCAGGUUGCCUAAGGAGGGAUGAACCAGCCCAGGUCCGAAAUAGAGCAAGUCAAAACUCCCAUGCUGAUCAGUAGUGGGACUGCGCCUGUGAAUAGCCACUGCACUCCAGCCUGGACGACAUAGUGAGACCCCGUCUCUU
ensembl:misc_RNA Metazoa_SRP Metazoan signal recognition particle RNA